rnacentral:lncRNA from 1 species
AUUCCUCCCAGCAUGACUCGUCAGAAACAAGUGAGGAUUCUGAGGCUGAAGUAUCUAGUGAAGAUGAUGAUGAUGAUGAUGAUGAGUACCUGCCCCCUAGCAAGAGACCGAGGAGCAGCAGCAGACGGCGGCUGACUAAUGAAGCUGCCAGUAGUGGUAGAAGAAGAGCAAAAACGUUCAAUCGCAGUUCCUCCCAGCAUGAUUCAUCAGGAACAAGUGAGAAAAUUGAGGUUGAGGUCACAGUCGAUGAUGAUGACCAUGACUUCCUAUUCCUUGACAAGAGUCUGCAGAGUAACAAGUCUGCUAAUGAAGCUGGCAAUAUUGAGAGGAGUGAUGCAGAAGAAUUUAGUUUUGAUUCCUCUUUCCAUGUCGCAUCAGAAACAAGUGAGAAACCUGAGGUUGAGGUCACCAUUGAAGAUGAUGACCAUGACUUCAUAUCUCCUGACAAGAGUCUGCAGAGGAGCAAGUCUGCUAAUGAAACUGCCAAUAGUGAGAGAAAUGAAGCAGAAGAAUGCAAUUCAGGUAAGAUGAAGAUGGAAGGUGAUUUUAUCUCCCUGCUUUGUUUUAUGAAAAGGUUUUGGGCAGUUUUGUGCUGCAGGAGGUGAUACGUGUUAGUGGUGGUGUUUAUUUAAAAGCCAUGGGCUCUGUGUAGAAGUAUUGCUGCAGUAUAAUCAUCAUCAUAGGCUACCUGUGUUGUUUUUUGUUAUGUGAUGUGACAAUGUGAAUACACGCAGAGGAAGUUGGGAUCUUCUGGUUCUGUUCUUUUCUGAUUCUUUUUGUUGGGUUUUUCCACAGAAAAGCAUCUGUGCACUUCAGUUUACCCUGUUUAGAGGUGCUUAGCCUAGGAUUUUUUGUGAUUCUGUACCUCUCCUUUAUUCUGUGCUUUGCUUUGGUUUGUGGCUGCAUUAAUCUGUCUGCUUUUAUAAGGUUCUGUGAAGUCAGGAACAUGUUUUUUACUUAAUAUUUUGAAGGCAGUAAGGUGUAAAGGUAUUCUGGUGUAAAAUCUUGUCCGUGUCCAUCAUUAGCAGUGCUGUUUUUCCUUCAGAUUCCUCCCAGCAUGACUCGUCAGAAACAAGUGAGGAUUCUGAGGCUGAAUUCACUAGUGGAGGUCAGUUCACCAGGUCAUUGAUUUCAGUUGGUUGGGCAGUUUUCUGUCCAAAAUGUGUUUUCCAAAGCUUACAUGACUUGGCAUUUAAUGAAGGGAAUUGUGUGCCAGUGUUGACUGUAGUUUGGAUUGUGCACUGCUUGGUAAACAAAACCUGGUGGAGAAGUAUUAGAAAACCACAAUACACUGAAGCAUAUUGGAGUUCCUGGGCUGGUUUUGAAAUGCUGCCUGACAGCAAUUUGUACCUUGAGUGUAUUUUUGCAGUGUUGGUAAUGGAAAAUCCUCCUUGUCUGGAGAAGAUGUUCUAGCAUUCAUUCAUUCUGAGGAAUCCAUUACUUUAUAAACCCCCUGUAGUUGUAUGUACCAUUAGUAGUUAACAGCAGCUUGUGGGCAGAAUGGUACUGGAACAGAAAGCUGUGCUGCAGG